rnacentral:rRNA from 1 species
GAUGAACGCUGGCGGCGUGCCUAAUACAUGCAAGUCGAGCGAACAGACGAGGAGCUUGCUCCUCUGACGUUAGCGGCGGACGGGUGAGUAACACGUGGAUAACCUCCCUAUAAGACUGGGAUAACUUCGGGAAACCGGAGCUAAUACCGGAUAAUAUAUUGAACCGCAUGGUUCAAUAGUGAAAGACGGUUUUGCUGUCACUUAUAGAUGGAUCCGCGCCGCAUUAGCUAGUUGGUAAGGUAACGGCUUACCAAGGCAACGAUGCGUAGCCGACCUGAGAGGGUGAUCGGCCACACUGGAACUGAGACACGGUCCAGACUCCUACGGGAGGCAGCAGUAGGGAAUCUUCCGCAAUGGGCGAAAGCCUGACGGAGCAACGCCGCGUGAGUGAUGAAGGUCUUCGGAUCGUAAAACUCUGUUAUUAGGGAAGAACAAAUGUGUAAGUAACUAUGCACGUCUUGACGGUACCUAAUCAGAGAGCCACGGCUAACUACGUG